UGGGGGAUAUUGCACAAUGGGCGAAAGCCUGAUGCAGCGACGCCGCGUGGGGGAUGAAGGCCUUCGGGUUGUAAACUUCUUUUGCUCUGAACAAGGCAUGCUAAUGGGUGUGUUGAGUGUAGGGGUUGAUUAGCGCCGGCUAACUACGUGCCAGCAGCCGCGGUAAUACGUAGGGCGCGAGCGUUGUCCGGAAUUACUGGGCGUAAAGGGCUUGUAGGUGGCUGGUUGCGUCUGUCGUGAAAGCUCAUGGCUUAACUGUGGGUUUGCGGUGGGUACGGGCUGGCUUGAGUGCAGUCGGGGAGGCUGGAAUUCCUGGUGUAGCGGUGGAAUGCGCAGAUAUCAGGAGGAAUAACGGUGGCGAAGGCGGGUCUCUGGGCUGUUACUGACACUGAGGAGCGAAAGCAUGGGGAGCGAACAGG
rnacentral:rRNA from 1 species